UACAGAGGUCUCAAGCGUUGUUCGGAUUCAUUGGGCGUAAAGGGUGCGUAGGUGGCGCGCUAAGUCAGGUGUGAAAUUUCGGAGCUUAACUCCGAAACUGCAUUUGAUACUGGCGUGCUUGAGGACUGGAGAGGAGACUGGAAUUUACGGUGUAGCGGUGAAAUGCGUAGAUAUCGUAAGGAAGACCAGGUGGCGAAGGCGG
rnacentral:rRNA from 1 species